AAGUCGUAACAAGGUUUCCGUAGCAUAAGUUUAGGAACAUGAUUCUUCCAUAGGUAAACUUAUAGAAGCCUUAGUAUCCUAGCAAUUAGGAGGCCACGCGACUAAAAAGAAUGUGGCCGUUUACUAGUUGACUCUGGUCAGCAACACAACCAAAUUGUUUGGGAACACCCCAGGCCUCUUAACCCAGGCUUUUUUUUAAUCCUCUCUGUAAUAAUUACCGUUAGGAUCAUAGACAUGGGUGACCCACAGCGAAUACCUCUAGGCAUUUCAAAUGC
rnacentral:misc_RNA from 1 species